UUGGGGUUGUAGGACACUCUAUACGGAGUUACAAAGGACGACAUUAGACGAAUCAUCUGGAAAGAUGAAUCAAAGAAGGUAAUAAUCCUGUAGUCGAAAAUGUUGUCUCUCUUGAGUGGAUCCUGAGUACGACGGAACACGUGAAAUUCCGUCGGAAUCUGGGAGGACCAUCUCCUAAGGCUAAAUACUCUCUAGUGACCGAUAGUGAACCAGUACCGUGAGGGAAAGGUGAAAAGCACCCCGGAAGGGGAGUGAAAUAGAACCUGAAACCGUGUGCUUACAAGUAGUCAGAGCCCGUUAAUGGGUGAUGGCGUGCCUUUUGUAGAAUGAACCGGCGAGUUACGAUUUGAUGCAAGGUUAAGCAGUAAAUGUGGAGCCGUAGCGAAAGCGAGUCUGAAUAGGGCGUUUAGUAUUUGGUCGUAGACCCGAAACCAGGUGAUCUACCCUUGGUCAGGUUGAAGUUCAGGUAACACUGAAUGGAGGACCGAACCGACUUACGUUGAAAAGUGAGCGGAUGAACUGAGGGUAGCGGAGAAAUUCCAAUCGAACCUGGAGAUAGCUGGUUCUCUCCGAAAUAGCUUUAGGGCUAGCCUCAAGUGAUGAUUAUUGGAGGUAGAGCACUGUUUGGACGAGGGGCCCCUCUCGGGUUACCGAAUUCAGACAAACUCCGAAUGCCAAUUAAUUUAACUUGGGAGUCAGAACAUGGGUGAUAAGGUCCGUGUUCGAAAGGGAAACAGCCCAGACCACCAGCUAAGGUCCCAAAAUAUAUGUUAAGUGGAAAAGGAUGUGGCGUUGCCCAGACAACUAGGAUGUUGGCUUAGAAGCAGCCAUCAUUUAAAGAGUGCGUAAUAGCUCACUAGUCGAGUGACACUGCGCCGAAAAUGUACCGGGGCUAAACAUAUUACCGAAGCUGUGGAUUGUCCUUUGGACAAUGGUAGGAGAGCGUUCUAAGGGCGUUGAAGCAUGAUCGUAAGGACAUGUGGAGCGCUUAGAAGUGAGAAUGCCGGUGUGAGUAGCGAAAGACGGGUGAGAAUCCCGUCCACCGAUUGACUAAGGUUUCCAGAGGAAGGCUCGUCCGCUCUGGGUUAGUCGGGUCCUAAGCUGAGGCCGACAGGCGUAGGCGAUGGAUAACAGGUUGAUAUUCCUGUACCACCUAUAAUCGUU
rnacentral:rRNA from 1 species